rnacentral:rRNA from 1 species
GAUCCAGACUCCUACGGGAGGCAGCAGUGGGGAAUAUUGCACAAUGGGGGAAACUCUGAUGCAGCAACGCCGCGUGAGUGAAGAAGUCAUUCGUGAUGUAAAGCUCUAUCAGCAGGGAAGAAGAUGACGGUACCUGACUAAGAAGCCCCGGCUAACUACGUGCCAGCAGCCGCGGUAAUACGUAGGGGGCAAGCGUUAUCCGGAUUUACUGGGUGUAAAGGGAGCGUAGACGGCGAUGCAAGCCAGAUGUGAAAGCCCGGGGCUCAACCCCGGGACUGCAUUUGGAACUGUGUGGCUGGAGUGUCGGAGAGGCAGGCGGAAUUCCUAGUGUAGCGGUGAAAUGCGUAGAUAUUAGGAGGAACACCAGUGGCGAAGGCGGCCUGCUGGACGAUGACUGACGUUGAGGCUCAAAAGCGUGGGGAGCAAACAGGAUUAGACCCGAGUACA